CCACACGGCCAUGCCACCCUGAACAAGCCCGAUGUCUGAUCUCAGAAGCUAAGCAGGGUCAGGCCUGGUUAGUACUUGGAUGGGAGACCACCUAGGAAGACCAGAUGCUGUAGGCA
rnacentral:rRNA from 1 species